UACGUAGGGUGCAAGCGUUGUCCGGAAUUAUUGGGCGUAAAGAGCUCGUAGGCGGUUCGUCGCGUCGGCUGUGAAAUCCCGGAGCUCAACUCCGGGUCUGCAGUCGAUACGGGCGGACUCGAGUUCGGCAGGGGAGACUGGAAUUCCUGGUGUAGCGGUGAAAUGCGCAGAUAUCAGGAGGAACACCGGUGGCGAAGGCGGGUCUGUGGGCCGAUACUGACGCUGAGGAGCGAAAGCGUGGGGAGCGAACAGG
rnacentral:rRNA from 1 species